CUUCAACUAAUCCAGAGAAUUAGUGGCUCAGAAUCGUAACCCUGGGCACAUCAGUCUUUGAGGAGACUCCUGGGAACAUCCUUCAACGCUGAACUAACUGCUGAAUCUCAAGGCAUCUACUCAAGGUCACGGAAGAGUCUGAGAAAUGCUAAAAUCCACCCUGCUCCCGCACUCUCCUCCUAUCUCACAUGCUAAUGACGCGAACUAACUUCAUGAAACUUUAAACACACUGGAGUGACAGAACCGAGUCAGGAGUGAUUUCAAUGACUGAUGGUAAACGGAUACGACCAUCUUCAAAAGUUACUUUCAGCCACACAUAAGGAAAUCAUGGAAUCGUAGGAAAAGAAUGCUUCCAUCAAGCCUCAACUUCAGCCUUCAGAAAAAGGGUGCAGAGAUAGACCCAAGCUGUGCAAUGUACUGGUGUGCAUUUCAGACAAUACCCAGGCUAUUUCUAUUUCUAAUUUUUUUCUUUUUUUUUUUUCCUUGAGAAAUAUCAGAGGUACUUACAUGAAGGAAGACCCGACCAGAUAAGUCCUUGGGAUAAAUAUGUUUUUUCCUUUCUUAAGAGAGAGGGAGAGGAAAAAAAAAAAAACAAAAACAAACAAACAAAAAAAAAACCAACAAUAAUCUUUACUUCGUCCAGCCUCGAAGCGCUUCUCCACCUGAUUCAAACCUGCAGUCACGGCGGCGGCGACCCACACAGAAUCUUCAAAGUCAAUCCAAUAGCAGCCCGAAGAAGAUGUCUGGGUGUACGCGUGUGCUCAAGUGUCUGUGACUGCGAGCCGGGAGCUGCAGACGGAAGAGCGUUACUGCUGUGAGUUCAUGGUAAUGCGGGAAAGAGCAUCUGCAUCAGGAAUCAGUAAUAACCUCAUCUAUAAAAUGUGGAACACAGUGUGAUAUGCUCAAAACACUGGUAGGAGUUUGAAAUGAGCUCUUCAACAUAUACCUGCACAUAUACCACAGGACUGUGAAAGUGAUGAACUUUAGUAAAAGUCCUUCUUAAUAUUGUGGGAAUAAUUUCCACUUCUGUACCAUUAACUUCCCUGUUCAUUCAUAUUGUGGCUUUCAAAGCAGAAGAAAGUAGGUCAUCAGGGAAGAUGGGAAUCAAUUCAGAACGAGAACUCUCCUUAACUUUUACCUUUGAAAAAGUGGAAUGCUCUUUGACUUAAACUUCUACAACUUAAUGGUCAGGAAGCCUUUCUUUUCACAUGCAGGGAGCCUCCAGGCUACAUUCAGUCUCCAUCGCUAUAUGGUUCCUUCUGCUUGUGAGCAGUUGCUGAGAAGGCACUUGGAAACUCCAAGCCCAUCCUCUUUUCACCCCAUUUGACCUUUGGAAUGCAGUUGUCAGCCAAGAAGACAUUGAUAUCCUCAGUCUCCUGCUAGCUUGAAUUCUUGAGGGCAUUGCCUGCUCAGAUUGUCUCCUGAUGUCAUUCCAAAUGUCUGAUGGCCAUCUAUGGCAACUGGGCUGGGCACAGGCUUCCUGGGAAGGGGGAGCCCAUGGAAUGCCUAAUGCAGGGUUCUGUUCGAGAGACCCGGAAACAGAUUUCUGCUGGAUGUGUGAUCAGCGUCACUGCUGUGUCUAAGGAACUGUACCACUUGAAAAACGAAAGCCAUCGUCACCUUUGCAAUUUUUUUGUUUUAAUAAAGUCUUAUGUGGGAUGUUAAUAUUUCCUAUUGAUUUCAUGAUGGCAACAACUGUAUUUUACAGGAAAAAAUAACAGAUUAAGAACAUUAAUAAAACUUUUACAUGUGGCAAUUA